GAGCUAUCUAUUUAAUGUACCAAAUCUUACCUUGGCUUCAAUCUAUCUAUAAAUGGAAAUCCAAAGGGUGGUUUCCGAUUCUAAGAGAUGAGCUAUGGAAUGGAAUCAAUUACACCUCGUGUGCUCUUCAUGGUUGGUAUGCAUAAAGGGAUGACAAAAAUCACCCACCUUAUUCUGAGCAGACUUUUUCCGCUUUUCAAGAGGUUUACUAUGGUCGAACACUUUUGAUAUAUGAAGGAACAGGCAUUACAAAUCUCUCAAGAACUAGUAGAAGAACCACCUCCAAAGUGCGUUGGAAAUCUUAGAAGCUCUUGUUGUUGAUAUUGUUGCUGUUGUUGAGUUGGUAUGG